CACGCUGUAAACGAUGAGUACUAGGUGUCGGGGGUUACCCCCCUCGGUGCCGCAGCUAACGCAUUAAGUACUCCGCCUGGGAAGUACGCUCGAAAGAGUGAAACUCAAAGGAAUUGACGGGGACCCGAACAAGUAGCGGAGCAUGUGGUUUAAUUCGAAGCAACGCGAAGAACCUUACCUAAGCUUGACAUCCCAAUGACAUCUCCUUAAUCGGAGAGUUCCCUUCGGGGACAUUGGUGACAGGUGGUGCAUGGUU
rnacentral:rRNA from 1 species